UUAACUAUAAAGCAUUUAAAUGUUCUAAUGCCAUAUACUAAUUAAUAGAGGUUGCUAUUUAUGAUCUGGAAUGAUUUCAUAGUACAAAAAUUUAGUCUUUAUUCUCAUAUUUGUAGAAUGAAAAGUCCAUGAGACUGUAGGCUUAAGGCAUUUAAAAAAUUUAACUUGUUGGAAUAAUUUAGUACAUGCAGUAUUACCUAACAUGUCUCUGAUAGUGCGACUCUGUUAUGUAGUGUAAGUGCUGCUGGUAGUACUUCAAGACUCUCUGUGUGUGUUCCUUUCCCUUCCCUUCCUUUCCCCUCCCCCCCCUUCCCUCUCCUUCCCUUCCUCUUUCCCUCCCUCUCUCCUUCUUUUCUUUCUUAUGACACUCCUUGAAAUUUUAGGAAAGGCAAGAACCACCAUCAGAUGUUCUCUUAAUAAUGAGAGUCUGCCUUCCAUAUCUUAGAUUUGGCAGAGUUCAGGUCUCAUCCUGGAGUGUCCUGUGGAGGGGGCUACCUCUAAGACCCCUGUACCAAAGUCUCAGUCCUGACAGUGCAGAAUCUGCAUGUAAAUUGUAUAUAUCCUGCCGUAGACAGUGGAUGGUCUCUGGACUAUUCAUAACAAUGCAAGUCUGUGCAGCUUGUAAACACCGUCUUAUGGGCAUAGUAAGGAAAGGGCUCACAUGCAUGAAACAGUCUGUCUGUCCUGUUUUAUGAGAUAGGGUCUCUAUUAUGUAGCUUUGGCUAACAUGAAACUUACUAUGUAGGCUAGUCAUUUGGGGACUUAAUUUUUUUUUUUUUUUUUUUUAAUGCUGGAAAUACUUAAGACCUUGCAUGGUAGUAUAUGCCUUUAAUGUUCAGGAAGCAGAGGCAGGGUGAUCUUGGGGUUCCAGGCCAGCCAGGGUUAUAAUGAAACUGUGUCUUUAAAAAUAAAAAAAGAAGGAAGGAAAAUAACCAGCCUCUGGGUUAUUUCAGUGUAAGAGUCUUGACUUCCAGUUUCUCUGUUACUAAUAAGGGACUCUUAUUUUGUAUAGAUCCUGUUCCUAUCUCUGAAGCAUUCUGAUUUUCACUUAUUUUUUUUAACUUGAAUAUAUUCUUCUAAAUGAUGCAGAUUAGGAUGUGCGAUUGGUGGCAGGUGGUCCUCCCCAAAUUGCAUUUGUUGUCCACUGGAAACAAAAUCAUGAACACACAAAUAUAAGGAUGUGGCAGAUAGGCAGUUACUGUGAAGAACAUAGCUGUUACAAGGCAAGUGGCACAGUAUGAUGGAGUACUAAUAAAGUCUUAAAGUCUUUGAAGAGAGAUGAGCACUUAGACUAUACAGAAGUGUAAGAAUAAAAGGAUGCAGACUACCUAGCAUCCAAUAAUUGUUCAGUAAGACAGGUCUUGGAAAUU
rnacentral:lncRNA from 1 species